rnacentral:miRNA from 1 species
UAUCACAGGCUUUAAACCCACUGUGAUAUUAGGAGUAAUAUCUCUCCAGGAUAUUAUGAAUAAUAUCACAGUGGGUGUACAC